rnacentral:lncRNA from 1 species
GAGCUUCAUAAUAAGGGAUCCACAUGUAUGUCAAAUGAACAGCCCAAGUUUUGUAAGAAUAAGCUUUCUGCAGCAAAGCAGUGCCUUAAAAUUGAUUUUAAACUACGUCAUGUACAUUGUGCAUCUCAGAGUAGACGUGCAGACCAUUGCAUUACUUGACUUCUCAGUUACCCAAAAGGCUAGAAUUAUACUCAGCAUGUGAUCAUGAGCAGUGUCAGCUGAUUCGAGAUGUUGAAAAUGUUACAGUGUGCUCAGUUCUGUGAAGAUUCAGGAGAGAAAAUUAACUGUAUCAAACCAUGGAUCAGAUGCAUGUCUGGAAGAGACAUAUAGUCUGAACAAUCAACUAAGACCAAUCACAACUGGAUAUCCUAAAGGACCUCAAGCCUCAGCAGAUUUUAAUAAUCAUGGAGUUUGCAAUGAAAUUCCUGCCAUAAAAGGUAUAUAACUAUAUAUUCAAAUGCAUAAAAUUUAGAUUUUUAUACGACCGCAAAAUUUGAAAAAUUUUUCGUCAUAUAUUGCUAUCACGUUGGCGUCGUCGUCGUCGUCGUCGUCGUCGUCGUCGUCGUCGAAUACUUUUAGUUUUCGCACUCUAACUUUAGUAAAAGUGAAUGGAAAUCUAUGAAAUUUUAACACAAGGUUUAUGACCACAAAAGGAAGGUUGGUAUUGAUUUUGGGAGUUUUGGUCCCAACAUUUUAGGAAUUAGGGGCCAAAAAGGGCCCAAAUAAGCAUUUUCUUGGUUUUCGCACUAUAACUUUAGUUUAAGUUAAUAGAAAUCUAUGAAAUUUUGACACAAUUUAUUUAUGACCACAAAAAAACGGUUGGGAUUGAUUUUGGGAGUUUUGGUUUCAACAGUUUAGGAAUUAGGGGCCAAAAAAGGGCCCAAAUAAGCAUUAUUCUUGGUUUUCGCACAAUAACUUUAGUUUAAGUAAAUAGAAAUCAAUGAAAUUUAAAACACAAUGUUAAUGACUACAAAAGGAAGGUUGGUAUUGAUUUUGGGAGUUUAGGUCCCAACAGUUUAGGAAUUAGGGGCCAAAAAGGGACCCAAAUAAGCAUUUUUCUUGGUUUUCGCACCAUAACGUUAGUAUAAGUAAAUAGAAAUCUAUGAAAUUUAAACACAAGGUUUAUGACCAUAAAAGGAAGUUGGUAUUGAUUUUGGGAGUUUUGGUCCCAACAGAAUAAGGGGCCCAAAGGGUCCAAAAUUAAACUUUGUUUGAUUUCAUCAAAAUUGAAUAAUUGGGGUUCUUUGAUAUGCCGAAUCUAACUGUCAUGACUGUGUAUGUAGAUUCUUAACUUUUGGUCCCGUUUUCAAAUUGGUCUACAUUAAGGUCCAAAGGGUCCAAAAUUAAACUUAGUUUGAUUUUGACAAAAAAUGAAUCAGUUAGGUUCUUUGAUAUGCUGAAUCUAAAAAUGUACUUAGAUUCUUGAUUAUUGGCCCAGUUUUCAAGUUGUGGCCAAAUCGGGUCCAAAAUUAAACUUUGUUUGAUUUCAUCAAAAAUUGAAUAAAUGGGGUUCUUUGAUAUACCAAAUCUAAACUGUUGUAAUGUAGAUUCUUCAUUUUGGUCCUCUGUUUUCAAAUUGGUCUACCACUAAAGUCCAAAGGGUCAAAAUUAAACUUAGUCUGAUUUGUAACAAAAAUUGAAAUCUUGGGGUUCUUUGAUAUGCUGAAUCAAAAUGUACUUAGAUUUUUUAUUAUGGGCCCAGUUUUCAAGUUGGUCCAAAUCAGGAUCUAAAAUUAUUUAUAUUAAGUAUUGCUGCAAUAGCAAGUCUUUUCAAUUGCACAGUAUUGCGCAAAUUGGCAAGAAAUAUCUAAUUGCACAAUAUGUGAAAAUAGCAAAUUUUUUUUUAAUUAGAGUAUCUUUCUUGUCCAGAAUAGUAAGCAAGAAAUAUCUAAUUGCAAAAUAUUGUGCAAUAAGCAAGAUUUUUUUUAAUUGGAGUUAUCUUUCUUGGGUUCAAUUUUUCUCAUUUGAAAUUUCAUAAAUAAAAAGAAAAUUUCUUCAAACAUUUUUUUGAGAGGUUUAAUAUUUCAACAGCAUAGUGAAUGGCUCGAAGAGAGAAACAAAAAAUUUCAAGUUCAUUAGAACACAUUCAUUCUGUGUCAGAAACCUAUGAUGUGUUCAACUAUUAAUCACAAUCCAAAUUUAGAGCUGAAUCCAGCUUGAAUGUUGUUGUCCAUACUUGCCCCAACCGUUCUGGGUUCAACCUCUGUGGUCGUAUAAAGCUACGCCCUGCGGAGCAUCUGGUUUCUGAUGAACACAUGAAGAAGGAGCUCACUUCUUUCAAUGCAUACAUACACAUUCUCAGUCAAAUCAGUGUUUACAGUCAAAUAUGCCAGAUUACAUGUACAUGUAUAUAAUUUAUUUUUAAGCAUGAAGGAUUAUGAUACCAAAAUGUGAAUUGUAUGCAAUGUAUUCAUAUUUGCUAGACAAAUAAAUAGCUUAUACUGCAAAAAGUAUCUGUUUUCACCACAUAAAUUGUCAUUAUGGUGUCAUUUGUUUUACAUCACAAACACCAUUUGUUAUAUUUAUAUACUAUACAUGUAGAUAGUGUAAAAAAAAUAAAACUCUGGAACGAUGAACAGAAAAUGGAACAUUAACAAUGAUUAAAAAAAAAAAUGGUAUUUUUUACCUUAAUAGUGAUAUAUAUGAUAGUUGGGAUUUUGUAUUGACAGUUUUUUUUUAUGGACAUUUACUUUUAGAUAUACCUGGAGUAUGGAACAUCUACCUUGUUAUACAUGUAUCUUUCUUAUUUGUUACAGUAUCGAGAAAAAACAGAGUGAUUGGUUUGGGUCAGCAUGGUAAGAACUGACAUGUGACAGUUUGCAUCAUGGGGGAUCCUAAU